GGUGUAGCUCAGUGGGAGAGCACAUGCCUAGCAUGCAUCAGGCCCUGAGUUCAAUGCUCAGCACC
rnacentral:tRNA from 1 species